rnacentral:rRNA from 1 species
AUCUGGAAGAAUCUGGAGACAGGUGCUGCAUGGCUGUCGCCAGCUCGUGUCGUGAGAUGUUGGGUUAAGUCCCGCAACGAGCGCAACCCUUGCCUUUAGUUGCCAGCAGUUCGGCUGGGCACUCUAAAGGGACUGCCGGUGUUAAACCGGAGGAAGGUGGGGAUGACGUCAAGUCCUCAUGGCCUUUAUGACCAGGGCUACACACGUACUACAAUGGCCGAUACAGAGGGCAGCGACACUGCGAGGUGAAGCCAAUCCCGUAAAAUCGGUCUCAGUCCGGAUUGGAGUCUGCAACUCGACUCCAUGAAGUUGGAAUCGCUAGUAAUCGUGGAUCAGCAUGCCACGGUGAAUACGUUCCCGGGCCUU